rnacentral:lncRNA from 1 species
UGGUGAAGGUACAUAUACAUUUUCCCCAUAUAAGCAUUGCCUGAAAGGUAUGUAUAAUCUAUAACGUCUAAGUAUUAAAACAAACAAAAAAAAAGUCCCCAAGUUGUAUCCCAAUUCUUGCCCAAACCCCUCCUGCUGCCCCAAGGCAGCUCACCUGUGCUUCUGCCUCAGCCAGGCUCCGCUCCUGAAGCACUUUGUGCCCCCUCAGCGUGUGGCACCUCCACCCGCUCCACACUCCUCAUCAACCCCCAGCGCGCACCGCGCCGCCCGUCACGUGACUCCUCCCCGCACCCCCUCCCCGCCUUCCUCCCGCCCACUGCCGGCUCCUCAGCAACCUGGGGCCACUUCCCUGUGGUGGCCUCCGACUUGUCAGUGAUCCAGAGACCUCAGCCGUCCACCCACUUGGCAAACCUCCUGCAGGCUCAAGACAGUGCCCUCAAGUCCACAAUGACUGCACCUGCUGGAAUACAGAAACUGUCAUAA